rnacentral:rRNA from 1 species
UACGUAGGGUGCAAGCGUUGUCCGGAAUUAUUGGGCGUAAAGAGCUCGUAGGCGGUUUGUCGCGUCUGCUGUGAAAACCCGAGGCUCAACCUCGGGCCUGCAGUGGGUACGGGCAGACUAGAGUGCGGUAGGGGAGAUUGGAAUUCCUGGUGUAGUGGUGAAAUGCGUAGAUAUCGGGAGGAACACCAGUGGCGAAGGCGACUACCUGGCCUGUUCUUGACGCUGAGGCGCGAAAGCUAGGGGAGCAAACGGG